rnacentral:lncRNA from 1 species
GUGUGGUGUAGACGCUUGGGUCAGGACACCGCGGCUGCAGAGGCUAAAGGAGCAGGAAGAUGGGGGGUGAGGCAGGAGAGAGGAGGGAGCGUUGAUGGAGGAGCUGACCCUGGGGAUGAGAGGAGGCCACGAGGACGCGGGCCGGGAAGGAAGUCCCCGGGAGCUGGGGACUUAGCACCUGCCCCACAGGCCUGGGCUGACUCGAGGGGCCUGGGGCAAGGGCACAGGUGCGGCCGCCUGGUUGGUGCCUGUCUCUGCAACCCCGAUGUCCUCACACACCCGUGUGGACAGCACAGUCGACACCGGUGGGUUCUGUCCCAUCUCUCCUCAGUGACCUGCCAGGACAUCGGGGAAGGAAAGCCAAGAAGACACUCCUUGCGUCCUGCCCGUGUCUCUCUCCCCAGACAAAGCACAUCAGGACAGAUCAAAGAGAAGGAAGAGAAGCACACACGGGGGAGAUUAUACUCUGAAGCCAGAUUAUACUCUGAAGCCACGGGAACAGCCACACAUACGGAGUUCUGGAGCUGGGAUGUGUCAUCUUCCCCAUAUGUGGAUGUGGUCCCCGACGUGGAAGCUCUCCAAGCCCCCGACUUAUUUUUUUUAAAUGAAAGCUUCAUCAUGUGGGUAUCACGUGUCAUUAACUCUGUUGGCAGACUCUCCCUUCUCCAGAGAAUGCUGGUGGAGCUGAAGUUUCGAGGUUCUAAUCAUGGCUGUCUCUGUUUUAAAAGGAGCCCACCCAGGAUCACCUCAUAAAAAUAACAGGUGCACCCAUCCCAGGAAAGUACAAGAGUUUAGGAGCCCCAGGUCAGACACUGGGGUCAAGCACCCACUAUUAGCACAAAAGGUGCUCCCCACACUCUCGUCUCUUAGGACGUUAAAAGGGUUUCAGGCAUUCCGUGCCAGGAACUGGGGCAGAAAGCCAUCAUCUUGCAGUGACAUGGCCUCAUGUGUGCUUCCUGCCUCGAGAUGGCUCUGGAAGUCUGUUGUGUUGAGUUUGGG